AGUCAGUCUGUAAAUCGACCUCAAACAAAUUGCAACAGAAAUUUUUUUACCUGGUAUAGAAAGUAUAUGGAAUAACAUGAAUCAUAUCAAAAGUCUAGCAAAAUCUAAGUUGCGCAACAUAGAAAAAAAACGGGUUUUUAUCGCGUUACUUUUUGUGAUUUUUUUCUGACGACAACGGUCUUCCAUAGGCGAACAAAGCGUCUCCGAUACUCAGAAUAACGACUGCAUAAUGGCGACAACAACAACAAAAUAAGUGUAAACAAAAUAAAUGUCAGUAAAGUACACUGUAAAGUGGGUUGGUAUAUUUUCCUUAAAAUAUUACAGAUCAUAAUAGGAAUUAUUAAUGUGGGGUCGGGUACCGCUUUGAGGUAGUCUUCAUUGAUGUAUGCUUGAUUUUGAAAAUAAAAAAAAUCCAGUAAACUAUAUGUACACUAAAUGAAUUUCAUCAACACACCAGAGCCAAUGGGUAUGCCCGAUCAUGUGUUCUGAGGACACUGUGAUGUAUACGAGUUAAAGAUGAACUCCUGUCGGAUUUGUUAACGGCUGUUUGAUAAUCAUACAAAGACAAUUAAAGGCAACGAAAAGGAAUGCAAGGGAAUAAAUGCUGCCAGUGAGAAUAAAAUGACAGUUUAAAAAGUUGAAUCGGAAU